rnacentral:misc_RNA from 1 species
UUUUUUUUUUUAAUUUUCUCUUUUCUUUUUCUCUCUUCCCCUCAUUUCAUGUGAAACCGCGUCUCCACAGUGCCUUCCUUGAAAUAUAGUAAUUCAAAGUCUAAGUUUUUGAUUUUGAUUCUUAGCUUCUAACAUACAGAAUCCAUAAAUACUUUAGCUUUGCUCUUCUCUUUUGUUCAUUCAUUUUUUCUUAAAUACCAAACUUUUCCUGUUCUCAUCUUUUCUGGGAUUUUUUUUUUCAUUUUCUUGGCUGAAAACCCAGUUGUUGUUUAUCUGUUUUUUAGUUUCCUACAAAGGGUAUUUGCUUGGAUUUUCUCUUUGACCAAACAAGAAGUAGUGGUUGCCAUGUUCUCCAAGUUCUGUUUCCUUUUUCUUCUUCUUUUGCUAUUUUCUGGUGCUUUUGAAGCGAUUGCAGGAGUAAAUGACCACAAGAAUAAUGUAAAUCGCAAUAUCUCAACUCUUGCGGGAAUCGAAUUGCUUGACCACAUGACGUUCAAUGCAGUUUCUUCUUCAACAAUAAAAACAGAUUGUAGCCUCUCCAGUUCAAGGAAAGACCAACCAACAAAAUCAAUAGCUGCCCUAGAAGAGCAAGAUGACGAUGAUGAUGAACUUGAUGGUGAUGAAGGAAAAGAUUCUAAGAAGACGGUGAAACUUGAGUUAAAGCACAGGUACAGGCCGAUGAAUCAAGAAUCUACCGCAGAAGAAUCUUUUAUCGCUUCCACCACUCGGGAUUUGAGCAGAAUUCAGACUCUACACAAAAGGAUUGUUGAGAAGAAGAAUCAAAAUGUCAUUUCAAGACUAAAAAAAGACAAGGAGCAGCAAAAGAAAGUGUUGAAGCAACCUGUGGUUGCCUCAGCAGCAUCUCCGGAAUCUUAUGCAACUGGGAUUUCCGGGCAACUCAUGGCGACCUUGGAGUCAGGGGUGAGCCUUGGCUCUGGAGAAUACUUUAUGGAUGUUUUUAUUGGUACCCCUCCCAAACACUUCUCUUUGAUUCUUGAUACUGGUAGUGAUCUUAAUUGGAUUCAAUGCGUUCCUUGUCUUGAUUGUUUUGUGCAAAAUGGGCCUUAUUAUGAUCCUAAGGAGUCAAGUUCUUUUAGAAAUAUAAGCUGCCAAGAUCCUCGGUGCCAUUUAGUUUCUUCCCCUGAUCCUCCCCAGCCUUGCAAGGCUGAGAAUCAGACAUGUCCUUAUUUCUAUUGGUAUGGUGAUAGUUCAAAUACAACAGGUGAUUUUGCGCUAGAAACCUUUACUGUUAACCUUACAUCACCUGCUGGGAAGUCAGAAUUUAAGCGAGUAGAGAAUGUGAUGUUCGGUUGUGGUCAUUGGAAUAGAGGCUUGUUUCAUGGGGCGGGAGGGUUGUUAGGACUUGGAAGAGGGCCUCUUUCCUUUGCCUCCCAGCUUCAGUCUCUAUAUGGCCAUUCCUUUUCAUAUUGCCUUGUUGAUAGAAACAGUGACACUAAUGUUAGCAGCAAAUUGAUUUUUGGGGAGGAUAAGGACCUCUUGAGUCACCCUGAGUUGAAUUUCACUUCAUUGGUUGCUGGUAAGGAAAACCCAGUUGAUACAUUUUAUUAUGUUCAAAUAAAAUCGAUCAUGGUUGGAGGAGAGGUACUAAAUAUACCUGAGAAGACUUGGAAUUUGUCCUCUGAUGGUGCUGGUGGUACAAUUGUGGAUUCUGGCACUACACUGAGUUAUUUUGCAGAACCAGCUUAUCAGAUCAUAAAGGAUGCAUUUGUGAAGAAGGUUAAAGCCUAUCCAGUAAUAAAAGAUUUCCCAAUACUGGAUCCUUGUUAUAAUGUCUCUGGGGUUGAGAAGAUGGAGCUGCCUGAAUUUGGAAUCCUAUUUGCAGAUGGAGCAGUGUGGAAUUUCCCAGUUGAAAACUACUUUAUUCGUCUCGAACCUGAGGAAGUUGUUUGCUUGGCAAUUCUGGGGACUCCUCAAUCUGCUCUUUCCAUAAUUGGAAACUAUCAGCAGCAGAAUUUCCACAUCUUAUAUGAUACAAAGAAUUCUAGGCUGGGAUAUGCACCAAUGAACUGUGCAGAUGUAUAACAUUUUUCUACGAAUGAAAUGGUAGCUAGGGGGAGAAGCAGCACUCAGUCAUUGGUGUUUCUUGGGGGGCAAUUUUUGGUUUUCCUUUCAAAACAGGCCUAGCAAUAGCAUACAGAAAGUUAGAUUCAUUAUUAUUUUUUUUCUUUCUUUUUUCACAUAAUUAUACCAUAGACAUGACUGUAAUCUGCCUCACUAAGUGUAUCAAUACAGUUUUAUGCAUUUUUAAUUACUGUUUGUUUUCUCAUGAAGCUGAGCAAUGACAAGCUCCUUCUUAUCAUACAACCUUCCACUGAAC